AACGAACGCUGGCGGCAUGCCUAACACAUGCAAGUCGAACGAGACCUUCGGGUCUAGUGGCGCACGGGUGCGUAACGCGUGGGAACCUGCACCUAGGUUCGGAAUAACUCCCCGACAGGGGUGCUAAUACCGGAUAAUGUCUUCGGACCAAAGAUUUAUCGACUUUGGAUGGGCACGCGUUGGAUUAGCUAGUUGGUAGGGUAAAAGCCUACCAAGGCGACGAUCCAUAGCUGGUCUGAGAGGAAGAUCAGCCACACUGGGACUGAGACGCGGCCCAGACUCCUACGGGAGGCAGCAGUGGGGAAUAGUGGACAAUGGGCGAAGGCCUGAUCCAGCAAUGCCGCGUGAGUGAUGAAGGCCUUAGGGUUGUAAAGCUCUUUUACCCGGGAUGAUAAUGACAGUACCGGGAGAAUAAGCUCCGGCUAACUCCGUG
rnacentral:rRNA from 1 species